GAGAGCUAGAUGAGGGGAGACCUUCAUGUCUAGUUCAGAGGGCGGGGAUACCCCAAUCCUAC
rnacentral:ncRNA from 1 species